rnacentral:rRNA from 1 species
GUGCACCAGGCGCGAAACUUUACAAUGUGCGAAAGCACGAUAAGGGAACUCUGAGUGCCUCCUAAGGAGGCUGUUCUGAUGUCUAAAAGCAACAGAAGUAAGGGCUGGGUAAGACCGGUGCCAGCCGCCGCGGUAACACCGGCAGCCCAAGUGGUAGCCACGUUUAUUGGGUCUAAAGCGUUCGUAGCCGGCCAGGUAAGUUCCUUGGGUAAAUUUAGCCGCUUAAACGGGUUAAGCUUUCAGGGAAUACUGCUUGGCUUGGGACUGGGAGAGGUCAGAGGUACUCCGGGGGUAGGGGUGAAAUCUAUUAAUCCCGUGGGGGACCACCGGUAGCGAAGGCGUCUGACCAGACCAGGUCCGACGGUGAGGGACGAAGGCUAGGGGCGCGAACCGGAUUAGAUACCCGCGUAGU